rnacentral:rRNA from 1 species
GAUCCUGGCUCAGAUUGAACGCUGGCGGCAUGCCUUACACAUGCAAGUCGAACGGUAACGCGGGGCAACCUGGCGACGAGUGGCGAACGGGUGAGUAAUACAUCGGAACGUACCUUUUAGUGGGGGAUAACGCAUCGAAAGAUGUGCUAAUACCGCAUAAUCUCUGAGGAGGAAAGGCGGGGAUCACGCAAGUGACCUGUCGCUGAAAGAGCGGCCGAUGGUCGAUUAGCUAGUUGGCGGGGUAAAAGCCCACCAAGGCGAUGAUCGAUAGCGGGUCUGAGAGGACGAUCCGUCACACUGGGACUGAGACACGGCCCAGACUCCUACGGGAGGCAGCAGUGGGGAAUUUUGGACAAUGGGCGCAAGCCUGAUCCAGCCAUGCCGCGUGUGGGAAGAAGGCCUUCGGGUUGUAAACCGCUUUUGUCAGGGAAGAAAUCUUCUAGGCUAAUACCUUGGGAGGAUGACGGUACCUGAAGAAUAAGCACCGGCUAACUACGUG